GACGAACGCUGGCGGCGUGCUUAACACAUGCAAGUCGAACGAAAAGAGGGAAAGAGCUUGCUCUUUCCGGAAUUGAGUGGCAAACGGGUGAGUAACACGUAAACAACCUGCCUUCAGGAUGGGGACAACAGACGGAAACGACUGCUAAUACCGAAUAAGUUCCAAGGGCCGCAUGGCCCAUGGAAGAAAAGGUGGCCUCUACCUGUAAGCUAUCGCCUGAAGAGGGGUUUGCGUCUGAUUAGCUGGUUGGAGGGGUAACGGCCCACCAAGGCGACGAUCAGUAGCCGGUCUGAGAGGAUAAACGGCCACACUGGAACUGAGACACGGUCCAGACUCCUACGGGAGGCAGCAGUGGGGAAUCUUCCGCAAUGGGCGAAAGCCUGACGGAGCAACGCCGCGUGAGUGAUGACGGCCUUCGGGUUGUAAAACUCUGUGAUCCGGGACGAAAAGGCAGAGUGCGAAGAACAAACUGCAUUGACGGUACCGGAAAAGCAAGCCACGGCUAACUACGUG
rnacentral:rRNA from 1 species